AUCCCGUAUUUUCAUACGUCGAAUUAUUCUAAGCUAAUCGACGUAAGUUUAAGGACGAGAUUAUUUUUGGGAUAUGAGACAAGGGCUUUUAAAUCCCCGAUUUUUUAUUUUUUUUUUAGUACACGAAUUGCUUGUAAAUUUUAUUUAGUAUAGAAACAAUAUUUUGUGUGUACCAAAAGGGACUAUGGACUAGUGCUACAUCACAUAAUCAUGGGAAUGAGUAUAUGAAGUGUAUUAAAAAUAAUUGGUAUUAAAGUAAAUUGAGAUCAAAGAAUUAAUUAUAUGGGUAAAUAGAUUAAACAUUAGAACACAAUGGGAGAGUAAGGAGUUAAUUAUGGUACUAUUAGAAUUACGUGGAUAAAUUCAUAUGGAUGAUUAAUUCCCAUGUGAAACGUGGCAAGCAUUUGGAAGAAUGACUAACGUUAUGCAUAGUAGGUUGUUUACACGUUUUUUUUUGGGAUAGGAAGUUAAGGUAGGCACUAAAGUGGACAUAUGGGGUAAGAUUAUUCUUAGUAUAUUCUAAAGAAAAGGGAAAGGAAAGAUUAAUAGAGACACAAGGGGCUGCUACGUGCAACUUUAGGAAGAAAACUAUUGGUUCCUUUUCAUAUUUUUUUCUUUCUUUCUUUUCCUUUAGAUGAAAUAUACAUGUUGAUUCCAUUUCACUUCCAUUUUAGUCGUUAUAUCCCUAUGGAACGGUACUGUAGCACCCACCAAUAUAUUGGAGAUGAUAUACUGCUUCCCGAAAAGAAUAUACCAAGUUCAACUAUUGAGGAAAACGUGAAUAACGACGUAGAGUCGGGUUCCUCCGGGUGAUAGUAAAUCGGAGAUUUUGAAGUAAGGUGGCAGAGGAUCAUUUCUUGGCAUAUAAGGCUAAAGGGCGACGAAGCAAGCUUGGUUACGGUUGAUCUACGACAGGUACAGACGACAGGUUCGCUGAUCCACACGUUUAGGAUCCCAUUUCUGCUAUUUUGGGGCGCUCUCUUCUUCAGAGCCCAUCUUUUGGUACAGUCUGUCACUGCUAUCUGGAUAUGUACAUUGUUCUGGGCAUGACGGAGCCCUGUCCCGUCUUAUGAUUAUGUUAUGUUCUGUAGAGGUCUGUGGAUAUAUCUGUGUGGGUUCUGUACAUAUGUUUGGGAUACUUUGUUCUAUGAUGGCCUUAUCGGCCUAUGUGUGCCAAGUCUGCUUUUUAUGCUAAAUUCUGUAGCGUCCACUAAUAUUAUUAUUAUAUUAUUUUGUGAAUAUGCUAAUUUGGGUAUCGGGUACGUAUAGGUGCC